GCAACUGGGCCGACCUGGAGCUGCUCUUCAACGCCUGCUUCAGCAACCUUGCCCACGUGGUUGACCAGAUCGCGUGGCAGAGGGCCCUGGCGUGUGAGUAGCACCCAGCCUGGCGUCACCUCCCAUCUAGCAGGGCUGAGAACUGACCUGCUCGUGGCUGCACCCGUGCAAGUGGCAGAGAGGCCCCAACAGGCUCUUCCCUGCUCCCCCCAAACAGCUGGUCCCACCUGACCCUCCGGAACAGGGCCUGGAGAAGGGUCCCGCUCCGGGCCAAACCCACCCCCCUGGAGUUGUGCUGCCGCAUGAUGGACACAGCUACCCUUGGGCCCGGCAUCAGGGUCCCCCCCUCCCCUUGCUCUUUCAGCGCCUUCAGGCUCGCGAUGCCUCCUCCGCUCCUGCAGUCCCCAUGGUGGUGCAGUGCUCCAUGGGCUGCCAGGUGGGUCCCAACGGCAGCAUCUAUGACRCUGCCUAUAACGGGCAGGACUUCAUGAGCUACAGCAUGGGCAACAGCAGCCGGGCAUGCAAGCGGGAUGAGGACCUGGCGUGGAGAUUGGCCCAGCAUGGGAGGGAGGAUGUGGAGAGACAAGCCCGGCACACCUACUGCUCGUCUGCCACGUCACCGGCUUCUACCCACAGCCCAUCCACGUCAACUGGCUCCAGGAUGGGCAGGAGGUGCCGCCAGGCCCGGAGCUCAACUCCACGCCGACGCUGCCCAAUGCCGACCUCACCUACCAGCUCCGCAGCGUCCUGGCCGUGGCCCCCCAUGAUGGGCACAGCUACGCCUGCCACAUGCGGCACAGCAGCCUGGGCGGCCGCAGCCUGCUGGUGCCCUGGGUUCCAGAGAGACCCAAAACCUGACACGUCAUGUGGAUCAUCGUC
rnacentral:lncRNA from 1 species